ensembl:lncRNA
AGAGCCCCGCCGCAGACCGUGCACCGCCAGGACCCGCUGCCGCCGGACCAGAGCCCUGAGAUGGAUUUCCCACCGGAGAAGAGGAUGUGCAUGAGGGCGUCCACACAGUCCAGCACAAGAUCCUGCUGUGACAUGCCAGACUGGAAAGGAAGGGAGCAGGAGGUGCUGCGACCAAGGACCUGCAUGCCCGGAACGGCGGACAAGGCUGUGCAGACGGAGGAAGCUGUCGAGAGGCCUGAGGAGAAGCGGCGGCAGUCCCCGAGCCCAUCACCGUCGCCGGGGAACAGAAGGCUGCGCAGGAGGAGCAUCUGCCUGCUGGUGCCUUGCGAGACCCACCCACUGGUGCAGUUCCCUGAGCUCAUCCCGGGCUACCCCUCCACAGAGGCGAUCCUAGAGAAGGAGAGGGAGGCAGCGUGGCAGCGCUUUCACCAGCUGUUGAGGCCCAAGGCUGAUGCGGUCCCCAGCACCAGUGGGGAAGGUAUGUCCCUGGGCACAGUCAUCGCCCGGGGCUCCUCACGCACCAACUGCACACAGGCAGCGUUUGCAGCCACAACAUCGGUCAUUUCUGGGCUGGCCGCUUUUACCACCACCGGCCUUACUCACACCAGCCAGCCCAGAAGCAGGAGCGUACCCGUGCUGGGAGGUGAGUCAGGGCAGAUGGGCCUUCUGCGGGGGUGAAGAGCAGGGCUAGAUCUAGGCAGCAGCUUUCCUGCCGGACCUGGCUGAGCUUCCCAGGCUCAGCAGCCCUGAGGGGCUGGUGCUCGGGCUGUGCAGAGCCUUGCCGUGCGAAGGGAAGGUGCUUCCGUCACUCUCUGCCCCAGGCCCCAGCCCUGGGGGUGGUGGAGGGGAAUCUGAAAUGCCGCUCCUUGUCCCCUCUGGACGCAACGGAUGCGUCGGUUCCUGUGGGUGCUGCCACCUCCCUAAAGCCAGGCUCUUCCUCCUUUGCUGACCCCGGCUCACAGUGGUGUGUUGCUUUCCAGGAACUCCUGCGCCCUUCUGUGGCCAGCGCCCCUCAGGCCUUGGAGGAGACGGCGCUUCCUCUGGUAGAGAGGGAGUUUAUGCUUCAGCCUGGAGGAGCUGAUGGGUCGUGUUGACCCCUUGGGCUGGGGGAUGGCGGAAGGGCCAGGCUGUGCUGUAGGAGCCGGCUCGGGUGGUAGCUGCUGGGUUCUGGGGAUGCAAAACCUUCCGUUCCACCUGGGACAGGGACUGUGGUACCCCCUGUGCCAGCUCGGAGCGCGGCUGCAGAGACCUGAGCAAACCUUUGUGCUUCCAGGUUCGUCCACCCCUGCCUCUUCGACCCGAGCAAGAUCCAGGAUUGAGGGAACUCGUAAGCGGAUAAAGGCACGGAUCAAGCAUUCCCGCAAUAAGUAACAGCCAGUGCUGCUGGCCCCCCAGCUGCAGGGGCUCUGGUCCAGAGCAGCCCCGAGGAGGGACUGGAGUGAUGGGGCCAGGCCCGUCCCUGCUGCCGGCAAGAAACCGUGCUGGGUGGCAGCGCCCGGGGUGGGACGGGGUGAACUGAACUCUUCCUCCUGGAACAGUUCCACAGCCAAGGCUGGAUGAACCUCUGUGUAUCUCUGCAGCAUUUCCUUCCUGGCUUUAUUUUGCCAUGUUUCCUAAGCUGUAAACUUUUGCUCCAGCCCUGGCAGUCUCCCCUCCCUUCUUCUCUGUGCUGGUGUCCCCUCCCCAUGUCGGGGUGCUCUGGAGCCACUAGCGGAGUCCAGAGCGGAUGGGGGUCCUCCCCCUCCCCAAAUCCAAAUCAUUUCUCAUUUGUGGCUCAUCCCCACGUGUUUGGGGUUUACCAGCUCCCAGGAGCUGCGGUGCUGUCUCCCCUGGUGCCAUUCAGUGGGAGCAGGGCAGAGGCUGCCGGAGCCAGGGCUCACCCGAGAGCUGCUCCCCCCCGCCUGCGGGGUCCCCACCACCCUCAGGAGGGCUUCGCUGCUGGGUCUUUAACUCUCUGAGCUGUGUGAGUGUGUGUGUCGGGUGGAGUCUGAAUUACAGGAAAAAGCACAAAUAUUGCAAUGUUCUUUAAUGAAAUAACACUUUAUUUUUACACUGAAGCUGUUACAGCAUCUCCUUCCUUCUAAAAUGUGAUGUACAUGGAUGUGACUAAACCUGUUCUGUUUGGUUUUUUGUUCUUCCCCAAGGAGGAGGACCGCUCCGAUGCCAAGUGGCCUUUUGGGCCACCAGCAGGAAAACGUCGGCGGCUGUGAUAUUUUUUGAAGAUUUUUAUUAUUCUACGUUUGUUCUACGUUUGUUCUAAUAUAGUUGUUAUACUGUUGUUCUUUUGUUGUUACGCUGUAGUUUUUUUGUUGUUAUACUGUAGUUGUUUUGUGGUUUUAUUGUUUAACUGUUACUAUGCAAUUUCCUCCCUCCCCCCCCAACCCCCGAUGCUCCCCAUCCCCUGUUUUUUUUGUUACUUAAAAUAAACAGACUGUGUU